CGGCGGACGGGUGAGUAAUGUCUGGGAAACUGCCCGAUGGAGGGGGAUAACUACUGGAAACGGUAGCUAAUACCGCAUAACGUCGCAAGACCAAAGAGGGGGACCUUAGGGCCUCUUGCCAUCGGAUGUGCCCAGAUGGGAUUAGCUUGUAGGUAAGGUAACGGCUUACCUAGGCGACGAUCCCUAGCUGGUCUGAGAGGAUGAUCAGCCACACUGGGACUGAGACACGGCCCAG
rnacentral:rRNA from 1 species